UCUACUACAGAACCUUAAUCAAGGAUCACAAAGGAUCACAUGAAGUUGUCCAACCUACAUCUUUAUCUAUCAGUCAAAGCCACCGGAUCGAGAUGUAAUUCAAUCACCAUGGCAAACUGUAUCCUCAAUAUAUUAUUAUUCUACUUGGAUGGUAUCUCCAAAUCAACUUAGAAACCGCUUUAUAUACUCUUGUUAAUUUCAGUAAGACUCCCUACCCCAUUCGCUCUCUAUUAAUCCCAACUAGUUUUCACAUACAUCGCCAGCGGUCAUUGCUAGCUAACCUGAUGUUGGUGUGACAUUGAUUAAGAGCCUCAACCAGAUCUUUCCUGAUGGCAGCCCAGCUAACAUGCCUCAUUGCUGAUAUCCUAAAGCUAGCAGAUCCAAGUAAAUCCAUGCCAUAAACCAUAAAUUCUACAACUAUAUUUAAUUCCAACAUCAAAUUUUUAUUCUUUCAUAAAAGCUUUGCAAGAAUUAAUUAAGUUAGAUCUAGCUACCCAUCACCUAUGGUACAAUGAUCAAGGGUCCUCGCUUGAAGCCACACAGCCUACAUCUCCAUCUAUUCGUUAAACCAGACA
rnacentral:lncRNA from 1 species